rnacentral:rRNA from 1 species
CAGUCGCCGCGGUAAUACGUAGGUCCCGAGCGUUGUCCGGAUUUAUUGGGCGUAAAGCGAGCGCAGGCGGUUUGAUAAGUCUGAAGUUAAAGGCUGUGGCUCAACCAUAGUUCGCUUUGGAAACUGUCAAACUUGAGUGCAGAAGGGGAGAGUGGAAUUCCAUGUGUAGCGGUGAAAUGCGUAGAUAUAUGGAGGAACACCGGUGGCGAAAGCGGCUCUCUGGCUUGUAACUGACGCUGAGGCUCGAAAGCGUGGGGAGCGAACAGGAUUAGAUACCCCGGUAGUCCCUGUCUCUUAUACA